CCCUAAUUGGAGGGGCAGGUCUGGUGCCAGCAGCCGCGGUAAUUCCAGCUCCAAUAGCGUAUAUUAAAGUUGUUGCAGUUAAAAAGCUCGUAGUUGACCCUUGGGUCUGGCUGGCCGGUCCGCCUCACCGCGAGUACUGGUCCGGCUGGCCCUUUCCUUCUGGGGAACCUCAUGGCCUUCACUGGCUGUGGGGGGAACCAGGACUUUUACUGUGAAAAAAUUAGAGUGUUCAAAGCAGGCCUUUGCUCGAAUACAUUAGCAUGGAAUAAUAGAAUAGGACGUGCGGUUCUAUUUUGUUGGUUUCUAGGACCGCCGUAAUGAUUAAUAGGGAUAGUCGGGGGCGUCUGUAUUCAGCUUCAGAGGUGAAAUUCUUGGAUUUGCUGAAGACUUACUACUGCGAAAGCUUUCGCCAUGGAGUAUCACUAACCAGGAACGAAAGUUAUAGGAUCGAAGACGAUCACUAUUCAUAAAAUAUGUCUGG
rnacentral:rRNA from 1 species